GCGGAGGAAAAGAAACCAACAGGGAUUGCCUCAGUAACGGCGAGUGAAGCGGCAUCAGCUCAAAUUUGAAAUCUGGCCUCACGGUCCGAGUUGUAAUUUGUAGAGAAUGCUUCGGGCGAGGUCCGGUCUAAGUUCCUUGGAACAGGACGUCAUAGAGGGUGAGAAUCCCGUAUGCGACCGGGUGCCUUUGUCCAUGUGAAGCUUCUUCGACGAGUCGAGUUGUUUGGGAAUGCAGCUCAAAAUGGGUGGUAAAUUUCAUCUAAAGCUAAAUACUGGCCAGAGACCGAUAGCGCACAAGUAGAGUGAUCGAAAGAUGAAAAGCACUUUGGAAAGAGAGUUAAACAGUACGUGAAAUUGUUGAAAGGGAAGCGCUUGCAACCAGACUUGCGCGUAGCCGAUCAUCCGGUGUUCUCACCGGUGCACUCGGUUGCGCUCAGGCCAGCAUCGGUUUCGGUGGUUGGAUAAAGGCCUUGGGAAUGUAGCUUCCUUCGGGGAGUGUUAUAGCCCUCGGUGCAAUGCAGCCUACCGGGACCGAGGACCGCGCUUCGGCUAGGAUGCUGGCGUAAUGGUUGUAAGCGACCCGUCUUGAAACACGGACCAAGGAGUCUAACAUCUAUGCGAGUGUUUGGGUGUCAAACCCAUACGCGUAAUGAAAGUGAACGGAGGUGAGAACCCUUAAGGGUGCAUCAUCGACCGAUCCUGAUGUCUUCGGAUGGAUUUGAGUAAGAGCAUAGCUGUUGGGACCCGAAAGAUGGUGAACUAUGCCUGAAUAGGGUGAAGCCAGAGGAAACUCUGGUGGAGGCUCGCAGCGGUUCUGACGUGCAAAUCGAUCGUCAAAUUUGGGUAUAGGGGCGAAAGACUAAUCGAACCAU
rnacentral:rRNA from 1 species